rnacentral:rRNA from 1 species
UCCUUAGAUGUCCUGGGCCGCACGCGCGUUACACUGAUGCAUUCAACGAGCUUAUAACCUUGGCCGAGAGGCCUGGGCAAUCUUGUUAACGUGCAUCGUGAUAGGGAUAGAUUAUUGAAAUUAUUAAUCUUGAACGAGGAAUUCCUAGUAAACGCAGAUCAUCAAUCUGCAUUGAUUACGGCCCUGCCCUUUGUACACACCGCCCGUCGCACCUACCGAUUGGAUGGUCCGGUGAAGCCUCGGGAUUGUGGUUCUUGCCGCUUUAUUGUAGCGUGACCGCGAGAACUUGUCUAAACCUUAUCAUCUAGAGGAAGGUGAAGUCGUAACA